ACUUAUCCUUUGAUUCUGCGACUUAAUAAGACUCCUUGCAGCAUCAGGAAUCAUUCUUUGAUUAGAAUUUCGCUCAAUUCUUGCGGUUUAGCCUCCUUUUAUGUAAAACUGACUCUUUUGACCACCAACAUAGAAACAAGCUAGAAAUGGCAUUAUUAAGGAAUUAACGAAGCUAAAUAGCGUAGGAAAUACAUUAAGAAUAUAGAAUAAAAUUAGUGUAUCAGUUCUCGGAAUCUGCCGAAACAAAAUUCUUCGCGCUUUUUGGGACCUCCAUACACCCACAACAUUGAUCUUUCAACAUUUUUUGAAAAAAUUUGACGCGUUAUUUUGGCAUUUUCGCACGAUAUAACGAGAUUGCGUUCAAUUCAACGUUCUCGGAAUCUGCCGAAACCAAAUUCUUGGCGCUUUUUGGGACCUCCAUACACCCACAACAUUGAUCUUUCAACUUUUUUUGGGAAAAUUUGACGCGUUAUUUUGGCAUUUUCGCACGGUCUUACGAGAUUGCGAACAUUGAGACGUUCUCGGAAUCUGCCGAAACCAAAUUCUUGGCGCUUUUUGGGACCUCCAGACACCCACAACAUUGGUCUUUCAACUUUUUUUGAGAAAAUUUGACGCGUUAUUUUGGCAUUUUCGCACGAUCUUACGAGAUUGCGAACAAUGAGACGUUCUCGGAAUCUGCCGAAACCAAAUUCUUGGCGCUUUUUGGGACCUCCAUACACCCACAACAUUGAUGNNNNNNNNNNNNNNNNNNNNCCCUAAUAUACACACCCAGCAAGUCUGUUCUUCCGCUCCGACUCUGUAGUGUGUACCUCUCAUACCCAAUUUGAUAAAUGGCCAAAGGCUGUUUAGAUUUGGAUAAAGAGGGACAUGAGAUUGAUAUUGACAGGAAAUGGACCAUGCAAUGAAAUGGAAGGACCUUGGGAAUGAAUCGAACGAUAUAGGAGAGGGACCUGCAAAUGAAUGAGGUUAAAGAGGUUUCUGCAGAUGACGUUGGAAGAGGGAACACCAAAUCAUGUUGAAGAAAGAAUUACAAAUGAGAUUGAAGAUGUUGAAGAAUGAGAGUUUGAUUGAUUUAUUGCUGACAUUUUUUAUUCAUGCUCUCUUUCACAAUUUGAGAAGUAAACUUGGUAAAAUGUUGAUGAAGGCACUGGAUAUAUGGCUUGGGACCCCUUUGAUUAGCUUUGCAAGCCACACAAGCUUGGAGCAUCAGAAGCAAAUGAGUUGUGAACUUGGGUUUGACUUUUGAGCUUGUGUUCUAUGAGAAGAGUGAUGGGUGCUGGGCGCACAGUUAGAGUGCUGGGUGUGCUGAUAUACGAGGGUAGUCUUGGAAAAUAAUUAAUAAAAACUGAAUGUUGGGUCUCCUUAGCAAUUUGCUGGGUACAUUUAGCAACACCCUUGUUUUAAUCAUUCUAUUCAUUGUUCCCUUAUUUCAUUUUAAAGCUUUGAAAUAUGGAUUUUAAAAACAAUCUUUUUGUCUUAUUGAGGUUGAUGGUACAAAGCUGAUAUUGUAACUUCAUUCACUCAGCAAUUGAUGUUGAACAUGUAAUGUUCAUAAUUAAUUCCUUUUUAAUCUAAUUUAUGGGUUCAACUUAGAGCAUCUCCAACCCUUGGUCUAAAACCUAUAAUAAGUUUAGGAUUUGUAAAAUCUCAUCUCCAACAUACUACCACAGUUGAGUUAAAAUAGGAUUUACCUAAAAUGCGUCCUAUUUUGACUUAACCAAAUAUGACCAAGCCUAUAAUUUAUGAGGGUGAGUGGGUGUGGACCACUAUCAUAUUUUAUUAUUAAACAAUUGGGUUUCACUUUAUGUAUGAUUAAAUGAUGAUAUAAAAUGAUUAAAUAUGUUUGGGUUUUGCCUCCCUAGGUUGGAGAUGCAAAAACCUAUAUGAAUAUUAUAGGUUUAGGUGACCUAAAAUUUGAAUAUAGGUUUAUGAUAUAGGUUACAUAUCUAAAAAGAAUGUCAUGUGCUCAUGUUUCUUAACUUUGGUAUCGUCUGAUGUUCAACUUAUGACAUGUAUUGAUGAGUGCUCCUUAUAUAUUUCUAAUUCUACAAAUCUUAGUUGUUGAUUAUUGUUCAACUUUCUUUUAAAAGGAAAUUUAGAUUUCAGGGAGUUGUUUUUUGUGAUAACCGCACAAUAAUUGAUCGAACUAAGAAAAAAUGCACGAUAAUUAUAAAACUGGCAGAACUUCCGCAAGCUUUCACAAUUAAUUCCCUUUUGAUCCAAUUUAUGGGUUCAACUUAUCUAAAUACAAUGUCAUGUGCUAAUGUGUCUUUACUUUUGAUUAUGUUCAGCUUUCUUUCAAAAUGAAAUUUAUAUGUGGGGCUAACUUUGUUUUCGAUUACUAUUUCACUCAAUUGUGUCAUUUUUAUUUGAAUUUCAUACAACUGUUGUCUAUGAAAAUCGUACAAUAAUUGAUCGAACUAGCAAAUAUUUCACAAUAAUUAUCAAACUGACAGAAAAAACAUCUCUACACGCGCGUGAGCGCGUGUGGGAAGGCUAGUAACCUAUUAAACAAGUUAUACCGCUUUAGUAGAUACAUGGCGAUCUGAGGUCAUUAAUAUGUGAAAAUAGAAAUUUCACCGCCUUAUGUAGUCACGGUAGUUAAAUAGGUCUACAGAAAAAAAAUCCACCGUGUUUCGGAUUUGUUACGUCCCACAUCGAAUCGGUCAACCUUAAUUUAACCUCAUUUUUAACACGAAAUGUGGUUGACCGGCCUCGUGUCUAACCCUAUUUUUGCCCCUUUUUGAACUUGAGCUCGUAUAUAUGUUAUUUAGGUACCCAUGAGAAAACUUUGUUAAAUUGACUCUCCGGUGGUUCGGCUCCUUAAGAGCGCCUAAGCGUAAUUAGGGUUAACCGCAUUUAUCGGGACCCAAAUGUUACCGGAAGUCUGUGGUUUUCAACAUUGGACGUAUUUCACUAUUCCGAUCACAUCUUAUUUCACAAGAUUUUGGAAAAUUUUGCUUCAUCUGAAUAGUUGGUUCACAAUGAUGUACAUUUGCAUAUAACAUACUAAACAAGUUAUACCGCUUUAGUAUGCACGUGGCGAUCCGAGGUCAUAAAUAUGUAAUAAUAAAAAUUCUACCGUCAGAUGUGGUAAUGGUAAUUAAAUAGGUCUACUGAUAAAAAUCCACCCUGUUUCGGAUUCGUUACGCUCCCCAUCGAAUCGGUCAACCUUAAUUCAACCUCAUUUUUUACACAAAACGCGGUUAACCGACAUCGUGUGAAACCCUAUUUUUCUCCGUUUUCGAACUGAAAACUCGUAUAUGGGAUUUACGAACUCAUGAAUUUUUUCUUGUUAAAUUGACCCACCGGUGGUUAGGCUCCCCAUAGGAGCGCCUAAGCGUAAUUAGGGUUGACUGCUCUUAUCGGGGAUCAAACAUUAACAGAAGUUUGUUAUUUUUCAGCCCUAGCCGUAUUUCACUAUUCCGAUCACAUCUUAUUUCACAAGAUUUUUGAAAUUUUACUUCAUUUGUAUAGUUGGUUCACAAAAAUACACUUACGUUUAACUUGAUUUUGUUUAUUAGUCCAUUUAACGCCCACUAACGCCUAACUCAACAAACAGAUCCACGUGUUUAAAUCAAGGAUCAAGACUCUUGAGUAAUUUUCAGUAUUUCAGAACAAAAGCAGAGUAUAUUGCUCAAGCAAAUUUGCUAUCAAUCUUUGAGCAUAGAUUCUCAUCUUAUUCCCAUUUCAUAUUUGACAGUUGAGGUGGUAUUUGACAAACUUGAUAAAUUUUCAGUCCAACCCAUAAGUUAAAAUAUAUAAAUUAAAUCACUAAGUGCCUACUAUUCGAAUCACAACUUACAACUGCAAUUAAGAAAAACGAGCAUGACUAAAAUAAAAGAAACAAAACAAGUUAAGAGAAACAAUGGUCACGUUUGGUAAAGUGGAUAAGAUUAGAUUAGGAUUUUGAAACAGAUUAGACUAGAUUAGAUAGGAGAUGUUAACUCCUAACCUAGCAUUACUCUUUGUUAUUGACAAGCUUUGCCUUGACUUCCAUGGACUUCUCCUCUCUUUCCCUCUUCUUUCUCCCCUUUCUUUCUCUCUGUUAUUAUCUCUUUCUUAUGCUGCUGUUGAUGAGUAUGGAUAUUUAUUUGUGUGUGGUCAUCUCAUGGUUUUUAUGGUUUUGAAACUUAAGUUUGGAUUUGUAUGGUGUUGAUGAGGAAUUAAUAUAAUUGAUAUUUAUUCACAUGCUCUGUGUGCUCUUCCUUUAAUUUACUCACUCUAGAUGUAUGAUUUAGGUAUUCCUCUCCUUCAUCUAUUUUUGGUGUGUUAGAAUUAAAAUAUUGAAUUGGGGAAUUUGUAUUUCAAUUUAUGUUAUGGCAUGAGUAUGGUGGAAUUUGCCCACUGUGUAUAUCUAUUUCCAUUUAGAUUUCUAAAGAUUGUGGUUUUCCAAUCACCCAAUUUUGAGUAUUAUUACCCUUGAUUGUUGGAAUAGUAUUUGGGAUUGUGGGUAGGGUAAUCGUUAUCGCAAAUAUUCUUUUCGAUCUUAUUAUUUGUGGUAAUGGUUGCUAGAAUAGGAUAGUCAAAACCUAAGUGUUCUUUCUUCCUCAUAUUUCACUUGUGGUUUAACUCCUAUUGUGUGACAAACGAUUUAGCUUUCUUUUCAGUCUCUUAAUGCUAAUCGAAGCAUCUUUUGAAUUUAUCAUCAUUAUUGCCAAAUGAUUCUUAUUUGGAAAGAGAACCUUGAUUUCCAUGGUGACCCUUGAUGUGAUGCAUCCUAUCAUUCUAUCUAUUUUUCAUUUAUGUCUUAAUUAGCUUGUUAUUAGUUAAAAAAACCAAAACCAUUGCGACACAUUAUCUACCAUCUUCUUUGUAAAUCCAUUUUGUGUGAGCCUCUUUGUACAUAUAUGCAUAAGUGAUUGAUGACCUAGACCAUAGGAUUGCUAGCUAGCUCGUGAUCCCUGUGGUACGAAAACUUCGAGUCUAAAUAUUUCCCACUUCUUUGAUGGCCGUGCUCUUAUUGUGCGUAAGUUGCAAUUUGCAUCAAAUCAAGUAUGCCAUCACAAGUUUCAGAAAAGCAAACUCCCGACACAUAAAAGGAAUGAUACAUUCUGUUGAGGGCUUGAGUGUAGGGAACUUCGCUUGGUUCAAAGCCUGCUUAGCCAAGACAUCAGCUGCAGCAUUUGGUCUACAGAAAUGCCUAAGAUCUGAAAUCUGCCUACUAUGCUUACAACUCUUAAGCACAUCACCGACAGGGUGCAACACAAUAUUGAAAUUCCAAAUAUGUAGAUUAAGGCAGCAUACUACAGUACCACCUCUAGCUUGCUCAUUAGGAGUAGAUUCAUGUAACUAAUCAAUACACUGAGGAAAGUCGAGGAAAAUGACACACCAGAAAAGUAGUUCAUGCCUUUUUGCAGCUUCAACAUCAAAAACAUCUCAUCCCCAUCACACAUGACAACCUAAAUAUGGUUCCAUCACUCAUGCACACCCGAGAUAAAAGGUAUUAGGCUACCCUUAUAAAAUCCAAUAUCUUAUGGGCAAGCCUAACUCUACCAACUCUUUUGAUUUCUGCUUAGAGGCUUAAGAAGAAAAUGGCAAGUGAACGGUGGGUGGCAGUUGAUUGAUCUCCCUAAUGAAUUUUACAUUGUUAAAUUUAAUUUGGAGGAGGAUAUGAAUUAUGCUUUGUGUGAGGGACCAUGGAUUCUUGCUGGACAAACCCUUAUUGUUCAGAAAUGCUAAGGAUAAAUGUCCUUAUUUGGUUACUACUACAAUGCUGCUAAUGUUGAUCAUUUAAACCUUGUUAGUAGCCCUCAAGGUAAGACUCCUUAUGCUCCUAUUUCCCCUGAUGUUAGUAUGGAUGCUCAAUCUGAUUUCAUUAAAGAUGAUAUGGGCCUUGGAUGCUUGUGAGCUAUAGAAAUAAGAUAAAAAAAAAAUCUCUAAUGGGUCUGGUCCUAAAAGGCCCGACAUUGAAGAGUCUAGGUUCUCUGUUCUUCAUGAUGAGAAGAGCAUCAUAUUGAUAAGUCUGUUUUGCCUAUCAAUGAUAAUUCCUCCACUCCUCCUAUUGCGAAAGCUUAGCAGGGCUUCCAAGAGAAAAACUCUCAAGUCUCUCCUAAAAAAAAAUUAUGAUAUAUCUAUUCCCAAUUCUAAAUGUUUCCCUUUGUCUGGUAAUCCUCCUUUUUGCCUCUGCUGCUAAACCUUUGUUGAAUAGAUCUGGUGGUCGAGCUCCUAUCAAAACUCAAAAGCUCAAUUUCUUCUUCUAAGCAAUCUCAAGGUUUUUUUUAAAAAACUUUCUUUUUGAAAUAUGGGUUCAGAUGCUUCGGGGGAGGGAAUUUCUACUUUAUUUGGUCAUUCCCCUUCUGAGUUUCAUAAUGAUACUGACUGCUUUGUUGAGCAAUCCUUUGCCAAUAAUAGCAAAAUGACUAUUGACACCGAGUUACCUUCCCUUGGUGAAGGUAUGGUUGAUAAUUUAACACCCACACCAAAAUCACAGUUCAGAUUAAGCUAAUUUAACACAACCACAGGAAGCCACAAAUACUGAUGUCUUUUUUUGUAUUUCUUUCUUGUUUAGAUUAUGUGUUUCUACUCAUGUAUAUUAUCAUCAUCCAACCUAAAUCUGAGUGCCUAUUCAUGAAAAGCAAAAAGAAAACCGAAGUCAAAUACCAGCAUGCUUUGCAAGGACUUGAAUGAAAGAUAAAUAUGAAGACAUCUUCAUAGACCACAACGUACCACGGACAUAAUCUGCUUGGGACCAAAAUCAUUAUAUCGCCACUUCAUACCAAUUUGCAGAUACACAGUAUUUCAGUAUAAACCAAUACAUCAAGUCAUCACAUUUAACAAGUAGAAAGCUCUACAGAUAAACAUUUGAAGAACUUACCAUACAAAACCCCACGACCUUCAAAUUCGAAUUCAAAACAAAUGUGGCCAAAAACCUUAAGCACAUAUCACACAAAAAUGAAAAAUGAACAUACUUUCAGGGCUCAGGGGGUUCACAUUCCCUGUAACGCUCUACAUUAGUCAAGAUUGCAGAAAUUUAAAUUUAGCCCGAAGGCUAUCAAAUCACAAAAGAACGUAGGUUUCACCUUUUUUGGAGCUAAAGAAAAUAUGAUAAUUUAGAUUUAGUUGGAGUGAACUUUUACUUUUUAUGAUAUGAAACAGUUGGUGCUUUAAUAGUUUUAAAAAUUAUUUGUAAAACUGAAACUGAUGGAGAUGUAUUGGUCAUUUGAUCAUUGUUGUAAGGGUGUCACUCGUUAUUAUAAGAUGAUUAACCCACAAUAUUUUAAAUUUUUCAUCUAGACAAUCACAUGAACAUGGCACAAUAAUUACACGUCAGUUUAAUACAGUUGAGGACAGUAAAAUGGCAAGGUCCUUUCUUAACCAAAAUUUAUUACUUCAGAGAAACUCGGAAAUAUGCACAAAGGAUAUACCAAUCUUGCAAAAGGAGACUUAAUUAAGGGUUUAACAAAACAGAAAAAUUAUUAGAGAAUAAUUCCAACAGAGAAAUCAGCUUUCUAUCUCCCAAUGUUCUUAGCUCAGUAAAUUAACUGAAUAACAGAUCUCAAAUUGCCAAUAAAUCGAAAACACAGAACCAAAUUUCAAAUUUACCAUGAAAAAAGAAAACCAAAUGAUAACCCAAAACCAAAACUGAAAGCAAACAAAGAGUUACCCAGACUGCUAUGCCAAUCGACCGGACAAGAAGAACAGAAAAAGCAUUACACUUUAAUAAAGAGGAUGGUGAAAAACAGGAAAGGAGAUCAAAGCAAUUGAGCUAGACAUUCACCGUCUUUAGUUUCCAGCCAGGUCCAGUUAGCUCUGCAAUUUUGUAUUCUGGUGGCGCUCGAAAGCAAAACGAAGAAAGAAAGAAAGAAAAAUCAUAUUGAUACUCAGAUUAAGCAAACAUGACAAUUAAAAAAAUCAAGCAGAUGAAAGAAAAGUUUUCUUUCUUUGAAGCCACUAUAUAAUCGAUACAGUUUUCUUUAUUUGAGUACAUUGCAUGUAAAGUUUGUAACUUUACCUGAAAAACUGCUUAAAAAUGAAACUCAAAUAAGCUGCAAUCGAUCAUUGAGGUGCAAGACUGCAGCACAGACAAAACCCGAAUCAGCUCAAAUCAAGGAAACAGAAAACCCAGUCAAAAAUAACAAUGUGCAUCACAUUCUUCAUCAGAUAAAACAUGUUGUUAUGUUUGAAAAGAUAGUGACUGCCGAAGAUCAAAGCAAUCGAGCUAGUACUUACAUUCACCAUCUUCAGUUUCCAGCCAGGUCCAGUUAUCUCUCCAAUUAGUAUUCGGGGGUACUCGGUAGCAAAAAGAAGAAAGAAACGAAAAUCAGAUUGAAACUCAGAAAGAAAGAAACACAGUUUUCUUUAUUUGAGUAUAUUGCAUGUAACCUGUAAUUUUACCUGAUAAACUGCUAAAAAAUGAAAAUCAAAUCAGCAAGCUAUAUACUGGAAUUCGGUAUCAUUGAGGUCCUAGACUGCAGAACAGACAAACGCCGAAUCAGCUCAAAUCAGGUAAUGGGAACGGUUAUCCUUCUUGAAAAGAAUAAGUUCAACUCAAACAGUAUAAAGGCAACUAUUCAUAUAUUCAAGUGCAUCAAUCAUAUUGCAUCAAAUAAAGCAUUCCAAGCAACCAAUUUUGAUUAAAAUCCUUAUCAGACUACGCUAAACAUAUAAUGAAAUCAGAAAUUACUCACAGCGUUGCAAGACUGAGGCAAUAGAUCAGUGACACCAAUUUGUUGUGCUCUAACCUCCUGCAAUAAUUUUGGUCAAAACGAAAACGUCAAGUCUCAGUACCUAAAUAUCCUAAACUUCGGACCACAAUUGACAUGGGCACUUACAGUGAGAACAAAUUCUGCAGGUGAUAAGUUCUUGAGGAAUCAAAAAUUUCACAAUCAAGCUAUGCAUAUAGAUGCAACAGCAUCUAUGUCAAACCUAAAUCUCACUUUCCAAGCUUCACUUUUCAUAUCUAGUCGGUCCCAAUCCAAUUUAAGACCAGCUCUUUAUAUUCACAAACUUUCCAAAACAAACACCCAAUUUAUAACCAAUGCACAUUGCACUAUCAACGCCAUAUAUAAUCUGAACCCACAAAAACCCACCAUAAAUUGAAAAGCAGCAUGCUUUAGUACAAUAACGAUUGGAUCAAAUACACCUUAUAAACCCCAACUUAAUUCUAAUUAAACACUUGCUUUGAAAGAAAACAUAUCAAUAAUUAUACCUGUAACCCAAAAAACCAGAAUUACCUACCCUAUUCUUGUUGAUGAUAGGAUGCAAAUUUUGUCAAAAUCGGAAAGAGAUCAACAAAGAUCAGAAACAGUUCAAAUUUCAAAAAGAGAGCAAAGAAGAUCGAAAUUCAUAUUCAUAAUAUAAAAAACGAGAUAAAAAAUACUUAGGAGAAGUAAGCAAUGAUUUGGAAAAAUAUAACCCCCUUAUAGCCUCACACAAAGAGCACCACCUUGAAUCUAAGAUCCAAUUCCAAAACACAUACAGAACAACAAACCAAACAGUUAAAAGUAAAAGGUAGGAAGCAAAAAUACUUAUCAAAGUUAAGGAGACAUUCGAGUGAACCCAACCGUUCUUAAGUAAAACUGUUGCACAAUUCCUAAAUGUCACACUUUCCUUGGCAUGCCUUUAAUAAAGAUACAGAAAAAAAAAGCAAAGCAAAGCAAGUGAUUUUAAUCACGAUAGACGUCUAAGUCAAAAAAAAAAAUUCAAUCAAUUUUAUAUCCCAUUAGUCUAAAAUAAGUUAUACAAUGAAAAAUUAUGAAGUAUAAUUAGCCAAAACUGACAUGUCACAGCAAAACAGAGAAAGGCAUACCUCUCUCCUUUCAAAUUCAAUCUUCUCCUCUUCCGUGUCAUUCACCUAUUACAUAGUAACAGUUUGACUUCUGUACAUGGGAAGAAAUCACGCUGAACAGACAAAUUUGUUCACCAAAAUGUUAGUAACUUGGAAAACUUACCCGUAACUAAUACUUUCCAUUUCUCACUACCGAAUUUAGCUUCAAAUUCAGCCAAAUCAUUUGUCUAAAUAACAUAAGUCCACCAACGGCACUAAUACAUGAAAUUUAGCUCAAAUAUAAACAAGUAGGAAUUAUCUAUAAUAUAGUCUGGUUAAAUAAAAUACUUUCUAACAUGAGUGUUGUGCAUUAUAAUCCAUGCUUUGCAUUUAAAAUAAAAAAAACAAUCGAUUGUGAAUGGGUUGGUGAAGUCGACGGAGCAGAAGCAGCAAUCAAUUGACAGAAGAAGGAAAGUAAAACAUUUGAGAUGGUACUGAAGUCUGUCUUCGUGGUUAACGUGGAUGGAAUGGGCUUUGGGUCUGACCGAGAGAUCGAUUCCGGAGAUAGAAGUCUUGGCGAGAGAGAGAGCGAGAAAUUCUAGAUAAGUCAAAAAUUGGGUCGGCUCUGGAAGUUUCAUGAAAGGCUAAAACAAAAGAAGCGAUGAAAUGCAGGCCCAGCACCGAGCCCAGCACUGCUGACGUCAUCUCAUAAAAUAGUAUAUAGGUUAAAUUUUACAUUAUUCGGAUCCUUCAUUAGUUAGAAUUGCAAAAUUUGAUUUUCCUCAACUGAACGAACAAAGGAUGGUACCCAUACCUCUUCUUGACAAUCCUAGCUAACAGAGUAUACUACAUAAAUGGUGGAUCAUCAUAUGAAUCAAAAGGUCAUAAUUUUACAAAAAAACUAAAAUCUAGAACCUCAAUUAGUCUUUGUUUUAAUGCCAAUUCUUGUUGCAUUAUGUGCUGCCAAGUCCUUUAAUAAAAGGAUUACUGAAGAACAUAUAUGAUUAUAAUCAAAUGAACAAUUUAUACUUAAUUAGGAAAAACUAAUUAUUAACUAACCUGCAAUGAACUCUAGCACAACAACACUCAUGACAACACAAAUGGCAUUUCGUCUAAUUCAAGUGAAAAAUGGCUGCAACAGACACAACACAAAAACCACUGUUAAAGCAAAAUCAACUUUCACAUUAUGGGAUACUGCAGUUUGUGUAUAUAGAUUGCAAAGAGUGCAACAAAGCUGUGGAUAUGAGCACAAAGUUAUGAAUCAAAAUUAGUAUAUAAUGGUAAAAGAAGAGUAGAAACACAUAAUUUUAGCUGACGUAUAGAUUAAUCUGAUUAACGGGGCCUAAAUUUUGUGUUUAACAUACAAUUUUUGUCAAUAUAUAGCUCUUACAGUUUCUAUAACUUCUCCAUUAUAGCUCAUAGUAUAGCCCUUUACCUUCCUCCAGCUUCCAGAUUUGGUUUCCAUAACUUCCCCAUCUGGAAAUAAGAAGAUCCAUCUUUAUUUGAUUUUAUGAGACCAUUCAUUUAUAUAAAUGCAAAUAAAAUUUGAUUAACAUGAUAAUAACUAUACAUGGANNNNNNNNNNNNNNNNNNNNUUAUUUUGGCAUUUUCGCACGAUCUUACGAGAUUGCGAACAUAUCAACGUUCUCGGAAUCUACCGAAACCAAAUUCUUGGCUCUUUUUGGGACCUCUAUUGAUGCGGCUCGUUUCCGGGCAUGCGAAAAUUAUGAACCUUGUUUUGGCAAUUGUAGUAUUGGUAAAUAAGGUUCGAUCAAUCCGGGGACUCUAGGGUGCUCCUGUGUUUACAAAACUAAACAGAUCAGAAUCUAAUUUAAGAGUUAUUUACAGAAUAUAAACAGCAAAUACAUUUACAGGAUUUCAGGUGGGAUUUUAGGGUUUGUUCUAACAUUCCUAUGAAAACAGUAAAUAAAGUAUAAUAUAAACAAGUGAUCAUUUUCCACACACACACAACCUUCAAACAACAAGUAUGUAUCGAUAUAUUAUCAUGUGAAUAAUAAAAAUGUUGUCAAGCAAGAUAAGUCAAUGAACCCGAAACACAAGCUUGAAGAAGUCAUUGCAUUCCUUCGAAUUCUACUUAAUAAUCGUCUACAUUGGAGAAGUCCUAACACGUCGACAAUCUCAUAUAAAGGCUGCGAUCGAUGCGGAGGCACCAGUCGACAAAAUAUACAAGUCAUUAAGAAGUUAAGAAUU
rnacentral:lncRNA from 1 species